GAUGAACGCUGGCGGCGUGCCUAAUACAUGCAAGUCGAGCGAACGGACGAGAAGCCUGCUUCUCUGAUGUUAGCGGCGGACGGGUGAGUAACACGUGGAUAACCUACCUAUAAGACUGGGAUAACUUCGGGAAACCGUAGCUAAUACCGGAUAAUAUUUUGAACCGCAUGGUUCAAAAGUGAAAGACGGUCUUGCUGUCACUUGUAGAUGGAUCCGCGCUGCAUUAGCUAGUUGGUAAGGUAACGGCUUACCAAGGCAACGAUGCAUAGCCGACCUGAGAGGGUGAUCGGCCACACUGGAACUGAGACACGGUCCAGACUCCUACGGGAGGCAGCAGUAGGGAAUCUUCCGCAAUGGGCGAAAGCCUGACGGAGCAACGCCGCGUGAGUGAUGAAGGUCUUCGGAUCGUAAAACUCUGUUAUUAGGGAAGAACAUAUGUGUAAGUAACUGUGCACAUCUUGACGGUACCUAAUCAGAAAGCCACGGCUAACUACGUG
rnacentral:rRNA from 1 species